AGUGGACGCUGGCGGUAGGCCUAACACAUGCAAGUCGAACGGCAGCACAGUAAGAGCUUGCUCUUACGGGUGGCGAGUGGCGGACGGGUGAGGAAUACAUCGGAAUCUACUUUUUCGUGGGGGAUAACGUAGGGAAACUUACGCUAAUACCGCAUACGACCUACGGGUGAAAGCAGGGGAUCUUCGGACCUUGCGCGAUUGAAUGAGCCGAUGUCGGAUUAGCUAGUUGGCGGGGUAAAGGCCCACCAAGGCGACGAUCCGUAGCUGGUCUGAGAGGAUGAUCAGCCACACUGGAACUGAGACACGGUCCAGACUCCUACGGGAGGCCGCAGUGGGGAAUUUUUGACAAUGGGCGCAAGCCUGAUCCCGCCAUACCGCGUGGGUGAAGAAGGCCUUCGGGUUGUAAAGCCCUUUUGUUGGGAAAGAAAAGCAGCAGGUUAAUACCCCGCUGUUCUGACGGUACCCAAAGAAUAAGCACCGGCUAACUUCGUG
rnacentral:rRNA from 1 species